rnacentral:rRNA from 1 species
UACGUAGGUGGCAAGCGUUGUCCGGAUUUAUUGGGUUUAAAGGGUGCGUAGGCGGUUCUAUAAGUCAGUGGUGAAAUCCGGCAGCUCAACUGUCGAUGUGCCAUUGAUACUGCAGAACUUGAGUACAGACGAGGUAGGCGGAAUUGACGGUGUAGCGGUGAAAUUCGUAGAUAUCGAGAGGAACACCUGUGGCGAAAGCGGCGCACUGGACCACAACUGACGCUGAGGCGCGAAAGCUGGGGGAGCAAACAGG